UAAUCAGAAAGCCACGGCUAACUACGUGCCAGCAGCCGCGGUAAUACGUAGGUGGCAAGCGUUAUCCGGAAUUAUUGGGCGUAAAGCGCGCGUAGGCGGUUUUUUAAGUCUGAUGUGAAAGCCCACGGCUCAACCGUGGAGGGUCAUUGGAAACUGGAAAACUUGAGUGCAGAAGAGGAAAGUGGAAUUCCAUGUGUAGCGGUGAAAUGCGCAGAGAUAUGGAGGAACACCAGUGGCGAAGGCGACUUUCUGGUCUGUAACUGACGCU
rnacentral:rRNA from 1 species